rnacentral:misc_RNA from 1 species
GAUGAAGAACGCAGCGAAAUGCGAUAAGUAAUGUGAAUUGCAGAAUUCAGUGAAUCAUCGAAUCUUUGAACGCACAUUGCGCCCGCCAGUAUUCUGGCGGGCAUGCCUGUCCGAGCGUCAUUUCAACCCUCGAACCCCUCCGGGGGGUCGGCGUUGGGGAUCGGGAACCCCUAAGACGGGAUCCCGGCCCCGAAAUACAGUGGCGGUCUCGCCGCAGCUUCUCCUGCGCAGUAGUUUGCACAACUCGCACCGGGAGCGCGGCGCGUCCACGUCCGUAAAACACCCAACUUUCUGAAAUGUUGACCUCGGAUCAGGUAGGAAUACCCGCUGAACUUAAGCAUAUCAAUAAGCGGAGGA